AUUGAACGCCGGCGGCAGGCCUAACACAUGCAAGUCGAGCGGAUGAAGGGAGCUUGCUCCUGGAUUCAGCGGCGGACGGGUGAGUAAUGCCUAGGAAUCUGCCUGGUAGUGGGGGAUAACGUCCGGAAACGGGCGCUAAUACCGCAUACGUCCUGAGGGAGAAAGUGGGGGAUCUUCGGACCUCACGCUAUCAGAUGAGCCUAGGUCGGAUUAGCUAGUUGGUGGGGUAAAGGCCUACCAAGGCGACGAUCCGUAACUGGUCUGAGAGGAUGAUCAGUCACACUGGAACUGAGACACGGUCCAGACUCCUACGGGAGGCAGCAGUGGGGAAUAUUGGACAAUGGGCGAAAGCCUGAUCCAGCCAUGCCGCGUGUGUGAAGAAGGUCUUCGGAUUGUAAAGCACUUUAAGUCGGGAGGAAGGGCAGUAAGUUAAUACCUUGCUGUUUUGACGUUACCAACAGAAUAAGCACCGGCUAACUUCGUG
rnacentral:rRNA from 1 species